UCGGCUUAGAGUUUGAUCAUGGCUCUCAUUGAACGCUGGCGGCAGGCUUAACACAUGCAAGUCCAACGGUAAAGUACCUUGCUACUUAGAGUGGCGGACGGGUGAGUAACGUAUGGGAAUUUACCAAAUGGAGGGGGACAACCGUUGGAAACGGCUGCUAAUACCGCAUAACGUCUAGAGACCAAAAGGUUUCGACUUGCCAUUUGAUGAGCCCAUAUGAGAUUAGCUAGUUGGUGUGGUAAUGGCUCACCAAGGCCACGAUCUCUAUCUGGUUUGAGAGGAUGACCAGCCACUCUGG
rnacentral:rRNA from 1 species